GACGAACGCUGGCGGCGUGCUUAACACAUGCAAGUCGAACGAGUGGCGAACGGGUGAGUAACACGUGGGUGAUCUGCCUUGCACUUCGGGAUAAGCUAGGGAAACUGGGUCUAAUACCGGAUAGUGCAAGAUGAGCUCGCGGCCUAUCAGCUGGUGGGGGGGGUCAUGGCUACCAAUGCGCGACGGGUAGCCGGCCUGGGAGUGGGUACGGCCCCAUUGGGACUGGGCAACGGCCCGGGCGCCUACGGGGGGCAGCGGUGGGGACUAUUGCACAAUGGGCGGAAGCCUGAUGCAGGGACGCCGCGUGGGGGAUGACUGCCUUCGGGUUGUAAGCUCCUUUAGUCAGUGACUCGGUACCUGUAUAUAAGGCACCGGCUAACUACGUGCCAGCAGCCGCGGUAAUA
rnacentral:rRNA from 1 species